rnacentral:rRNA from 1 species
AACGCUAGCUACAGGCUUAACACAUGCAAGUCGAGGGGAAACGACAUCGAAAGCUUGCUUUUGAUGGGCGUCGACCGGCGCACGGGUGAGUAACGCGUAUCCAACCUGCCCACCACUUGGGAAUAACCUUGCGAAAGUAAGACUAAUACCCAAUGAUAUCUCUAGAAGACAUCUGAAAGAGAUUAAAGAUUUAUCGGUGAUGGAUGGGGAUGCGUCUGAUUAGCUUGUUGGCGGGGUAACGGCCCACCAAGGCAACGAUCAGUAGGGGUUCUGAGAGGAAGGUCCCCCACAUUGGAACUGAGACACGGUCCAAACUCCUACGGGAGGCAGCAGUGAGGAAUAUUGGUCAAUGGACGAGAGUCUGAACCAGCCAAGUAGCGUGCAGGAAGACGGCCCUAUGGGUUGUAAACUGCUUUUAUAAGGGAAUAAAGUGAGUCUCGUGAGACUUUUUGCAUGUACCUUAUGAAUAAGGACCGGCUAAUUCCGUGCCAGCAGCCGCGGUAAUACGGAAGGUCCGGGCGUUGUCCGGAUUUAUUGGGUUUAAAGGGAGCGUAGGCCGGAGAUUAAGCGUGUUGUGAAAUGUAGAUGCUCAACAUCUGAACUGCAGCGCGAACUGGUUUCCUUGAGUACGCACAAAGUGGGCGGAAUUCGUGGUGUAGCGGUGAAAUGCUUAGAUAUCACGAAGAACUCCGAUUG